CCGAUAGCUCAGUUGGUAGAGCAAGGGACUGAAAAUCCCUGUGUCGGCGGUUCGAUUCCGCCUUGGGC
rnacentral:tRNA from 3 species